rnacentral:misc_RNA from 1 species
AAGUCGUAACAAGGUUUCCGUAGGUGAACCUGCGGAAGGAUCAUUAUUGAAUAAACUUGGUCAAGCUGUUGCUGGUCCUUCGGGGCAUGUGCACGCUUGCCACCAAUUUUAACCACCUGUGCACCUUUUGUAGACUAGAAGCGUUUCUCGAGGCAACUCGGAUUGAGAACUGCUGCGCGAAAGCCAGCUGUUCUUGUGUUUCUCAGUCUAUGUUUUUACAUACCCCGAAUGAAUGUAUCAGAAUGUAUUGCUUGGCCUUAGUGCCUUUAAAUCAAAUACAACUUUCAACAACGGAUCUCUUGGCUCUC